UACGUAGGGUGCGAGCGUUGUCCGGAAUUAUUGGGCGUAAAGGGCUCGUAGGCGGUUUGUCGCGUCGGGAGUGAAAACCAGGUGCUUAACACCUGGCUUGCUUUCGAUACGGGCAGACUAGAGGUAUGCAGGGGAGAACGGAAUUCCUGGUGUAGCGGUGAAAUGCGCAGAUAUCAGGAGGAACACCGGUGGCGAAGGCGGUUCUCUGGGCAUGACCUGACGCUGAGGAGCGAAAGCUAGGGGAGCAAACGGG
rnacentral:rRNA from 1 species